rnacentral:rRNA from 1 species
AUUGAACGCUGGCGGCAUGCCUUACACAUGCAAGUCGAACGGUAACAGGUCUUCGGAUGCUGACGAGUGGCGAACGGGUGAGUAAUACAUCGGAACGUGCCCGAUCGUGGGGGAUAACGAAGCGAAAGCUUUGCUAAUACCGCAUAAGAUCUAAGGAUGAAAGCAGGGGCCCGCAAGGCCUUGCGCGAACGGAGCGGCCGAUGGCAGAUUAGGUAGUUGGUGGGAUAAAAGCUUACCAAGCCGACGAUCUGUAGCUGGUCUGAGAGGACGACCGGCCACACUGGGACUGAGACACGGCCCAGACUCCUACGGGAGGCAGCAGUGGGGAAUUUUGGACAAUGGGCGAAAGCCUGAUCCAGCCAUGCCGCGUGCAGGAUGAAGGCCUUCGGGUUGUAAACUGCUUUUGUACGGAACGAAAAGACUCUUUCUAAUAAAGAGGGUCCAUGACGGUACCGUAAGAAUAAGCACCGGCUAACUACGUGCCAGCCGCCGCGGUAA